rnacentral:rRNA from 1 species
UACGUAGGGUGCGAGCGUUGUCCGGAAUUACUGGGCGUAAAGGGCGCGUAGGCGGCCCUCUAAGUCAGACGUGAAAUCCCUCGGCUCAACCGGGGAACUGCGUCUGAUACUGGAGGGCUUGAAUCCGGGAGAGGGAUGUGGAAUUCCAGGUGUAGCGGUGAAAUGCGUAGAUAUCUGGAGGAACACCGGUGGCGAAGGCGGCAUCCUGGACCGGUAUUGACGCUGAGGCGCGAAAGCUAGGGGAGCAAACGGG